rfam:Chromobacterium sp. 37-2 Cmus_37-2.1, whole genome shotgun sequence.
GCCCAGGUGGCGGAAUUGGUAGACGCACUAGGUUCAGGUCCUAGCGCCCGCAAGGGUGUGGAAGUUCGAGUCUUCUCUUGGGCA